rnacentral:tRNA from 1 species
AUACUGAAAGUAUUUACCUUGUACAGCUGCCUUCCAAGCAGAAAGACCUCUGUAGGUCAGUAUAC